rnacentral:rRNA from 1 species
UACAGAGGUCCCAAGCGUUGUUCGGAUUCACUGGGCGUAAAGGGUGCGUAGGUGGCCAGGUAAGUUUGGUGUGAAAGCUCGGAGCUCAACUCCGAAAUGGCAUUGAAUACUAUCUGGCUGGAGGGUCGGAGGGGAGAGUGGAAUUCCUGGUGUAGCGGUGAAAUGCGCAGAUAUCAGGAAGAACACCUAUGGCGAAGGCAGCUCUCUGGGACGGUACUGACGCUGAGACGCGAAAGCGUGGGGAGCGAACAGG